AAUUUUAAAAUCUAGAUCCCCUGAAAUGCGAUUUCAAGCAUUUUGGGAGUGAAAUCUUGGACAAUUCUGAAAAUUAUUUUCCCACACAUUUCUCCUCGGAGUUAAAUAAGUUGGAAAAGUCACCUUGAAAAGCCACCUUAUAUGCCACUGGUCAAAAGUCUGAGUCCAGUCAAUAUGAUCUUGCCUUUUUAUAUUGAUAUACAAUACAUUUUGACACAACACACUACUAUAUGUGCAACAAAUAAGGAUAUACACUACAGUUGGAAUUGAUUAUACUAUAUUAGCCAAGUGAAUAUUAUAUUGAUAUUUGUGUGACCUCCUUUUGAUUUUAAAACAGCUUAAAAUCUUCCUGGCAUACAUGUAGACUGAACAAAUUUUGAUGGUUUUUUCUUAGUAUUUAAUAUGGUUUUUCUUAGUAUUGAUGGUUUUCAAGGUUAUUCCAGAAUUAUUGAUUAACAACAUGCUAUUGGUUGGCUG